rnacentral:lncRNA from 1 species
CUGAUUCUGUUCUCACCCUCUCUUACUGGUUAUGAACUUCAGCUGCCUUACUCCUCCGCUUAGGCCGUGUCGCCUCGACAAUUUGGUCUCUUUGGUCGCCGCACACUCAGCAUCCUGCAAUUUUCUAAUGAAUUGCAUCCAGUUUCAACUCAAGCAAGUUUGCUAGUACAAUAAAAAUUGCAACCAAACGAUAUUGGCAAACCUGAUGAUGUCCUAAGUUUUCCUCUGAUCCAGCAAGAAGCUUAUCGAGGCGGCUCCAGCCAGCACGUCAUAGGAUCAAACGGUCGGCGGCAUGCUGGAUGGUCCUCGUCCGCUACACACCCUGCAGAUUUUUUGUUUGAAGAAUUCAUGCAAGAAAUAGAAUUCAAGUGUAACUUCUAUAUCUAGUAUAUACUCC